CACACGCGGUCUCGCCAUGGAGCUGGAGGAGGACGCGGAUCUGCUGGACCCAGAGAGGCUGAUCCAGUGCCCCUUUGUCAAACAGCACCAGAUCCGAGCCUGCCGCUUCCCCUACCACCUGGUGAAGUGUAAGGAGAGCAACCCAGAAAUUGCAAAGAAAUUGGCCACGUGCCCGUUCAACGCCCGGCACUUGGUGCCUCGGGGCGACCUCAGCGACCACAUCAUGAAGUGCAACGACCAAGCCCUCAUGGAGCAAGAUGUAGUGAGUGGGUGCUGUGAGCCCCCACAGGAGCAGGUGAAGGAUGGGAGCACGUGGCAGGCACCUCCAUGUGAUGAAGACUGGGAAACAGAGGUGUCGGAGAUUUCUACCUCUGCUUUUGUUUGGGGUGUGCCCAACUCUGCCAUAAACAGCCCCAUCAGGGACCAGAGCAAUUCGCUGCCCUCGCGGAUGAGGCCCCCCGAGACCCUCCCGUACAGCGUGUCCUGCAGGGCUAAUUCGGAGUUUUAACAUCUCACCCCUCUGGAAGGUGUUUUUCCAGCAGGAAGUGCCUCCCUAUCUGGGACAGGAGAGCUCCUGUGGAUGACAGACCUGCUCUGGACCUGGUGGCAGGAUUCUCUACACUUGGCUUUUGCUGCACAACAUGUUUCUUGCAACAUUUGGGCAUGUUGCCAGAUGUUCCCCCAAGUG